AUUCCAUGAUGAGGACAUUUCUGAAUAAGAUUCUUGAUUCUCUCCCAUGCAUCCGAAAUUGCUUCAUCCCGUUCUUGACGAAACAUCAAAGUUUCAUUUCUAAACUU